rnacentral:rRNA from 1 species
GACGAACGCUGGCGGCGUGCUUAACACAUGCAAGUCGAACGGAAAGGCCCUGCUUUUGUGGGGUGCUCGAGUGUCGAACGGGUGAGUAACACGUGUGUAACCUGCCCUUGACUUUGGGAUAACUUCAGGAAACUGGGGAUAAUACCGGAUAUGAGCUCCUGCUGCAUGGUGGGGGUUGGUAAGUUUCGGCGGUUGGGGAUGGACUCGCGGCUUAGCAGCUUGUUGGUGGGGUAGUGGCUUACCAAGGCUUUGACGGGUAGCCGGCCUGGCAGGGUGACCGGCCAAAUGGGGACUGGGAGACGGCCCAGACGCCUACGGGGGGCAGGAGGGGGGAAUAUUGCACAAUGGGCGGAAGCCUGAUGCAGCAACGCGGCGGGCGGAAGGACGUCCUUCGGGUAGAAAACGGCUUAGGCUGGUAACGAAGCGGGGGUAACGUAAAUGGUUAAAAAGGCACGGCCAAACUAGGG